rnacentral:tRNA from 1 species
GCCGGCAUAGCUCAGUUGGUAGAGCAGCUGAUUUGUAAUCAGAAAAAAGGGUUUUGCUGGCU